CCUGGUUGAUUGUGCCAAUAGUCAUAUCCUUGUUUCAAAGAUUAAACCAUUCAUGUGUAAGUAUGAACUAAUUCAAACUGUGAAACUGUGAAUGGCUCAUUAAAUCAGUUAUAAUGUGUUUGAUGAUAUCUACUACUCAGAUAACCAUAGUAAUUCUAGAGCUAAUAUGUGCAACAAACCUCAACUUCUAAAAGGGAUGCAUUUAUUAGGUAAAAGGUCGACAUCCGCUUCGUCUGUUGCUCUAAUAAUUCAUGAUAACUUGAUGAAUCGUAUAGCUUUUAUGCCAAUAACUCAUCAUUCAAUUUUCUACCCUAUCAACUUUUGAUGUAUGAUAGUGGCCUACUAUAAUGGUGAUAGGUGAUGGUGAAUUAGGGUUCGAUUUUAGAGAGAAAGCCUGGGAAACGGCUACCACAUCCAAGAAAGGCAGCAAGCACGUAAAUUACCCAAUCCUAAUAUAGGGAGGUAGUGACAAUAAAUAAUAAUACUAGUUGUAUGAGUUUGGAAAUUGGAAUGAGUACAAUCUAAAUCCCUUAAUGAGGAUCCCUUGGACGGCAAAUCUGGUGCCAGCAGCUACUGUAAUUCUAGCUCUAAUAAUGUAUAUUUAAGUUGUUAUAGUUAAAAAGCUCAUAGUUGGAACCAAAGUUAGGUCAUCCAAUUUACCUCAUGGUGAGCACCGAUCUACUCAUCCUUUCUGCAAGUGAUGUGCUACUGGACUUAACUAGCUAGGCCAUUCCUCUAGCAUUGUUACUUUAAAGAAAUUAGAGUGCUAAAAGUAGGCUUGCGCUUGUAUACAUUAGCAUGGGUAACAUCAUAGGAUUUCAAUCCUAUUAUGUUGGCCUUUGGGAUUAAAGUAAUGAUUAACAAGGAUAGUUAGAGGCAUUUGUAUUUCAUAGCUAGAGGUGAAAUUUUUGGAUUUAUGAAAGAUAAACAACUAUGAAGCAUUUGCCAAGGAUGUUUUCAUUAAUCAAGAAUGAAUGUUUGAGGCUUAAAGAUGAUUAAAUAUUGUCCUAGUCUCAACCAAAAAUGAUGCUGACUAGGGAUCAACGAAUGUUAUUUUUAGGACUCUGCUAGCACCUUAUGACAAAUCAAAGUCUUUAGGUUUUAGGGGGAUGGUCACAAGGUUGAAACUUGAAGGAAUUAAUGGAUAGGCACCACUAAGAGUUAAGCCUGUGGCAUAAUUUGACUCAAUGUGGGGAAACUUACUAAGUCCAGACAUAAUAAGGAUUAAUAGACUGAAAGCUUUUUCUUGAUUCUAUUGGUGGUAGUGCAUGGCCGUUCUUAGUUAGUGGAGUGAUUUGUCUAGUUAAUUCCAUUAAUGAAUGAUAAUUUUGCUUGCUAACUAGCUAUGUAGAAAGAUCAUUGUCAAAACCAGCUCAAUGAAUGACCCAUGAAUUCAUUAACAAAACACUGAAGGGGCAAGGGUGCCUCUAUGCCCUGAGCUCUUUCUAGCACCCAAGCAUGCAUGACGGUCGCUUUUUUCCACCUCCCGGAUGGUAUUAAAUGAUCGACAUCAUUGCCCAUGGUAAAAUAAUGAGCCCUCAGCAUGAAUUACACUAAGGAACCAAAAUGAAAAAGAGCACGUGUGCUAUCGCAUCCCAUUUAUGGUGCAUGUGUAAGUGGCACCAUGGCUUCUUUUGUUGUGAAAAACUAAAAUGACUCUUGAUAACAGAUAUCUCGGCUCUCGCAUCAAUGAAACAUGUAGCAAAAUGCAAUACUUAGUGUGAAUUAUAAAGUCUUAUGAACUAUUGAGUCUUUGAGCGCAAGUUAC
rnacentral:rRNA from 1 species